rnacentral:rRNA from 1 species
CAAUAGCGUAUAUUAAAGUUGUUGCGGUUAAAAAGCUCGUAGUUGGAUUUCUGCUGAGGACGACCGGUCCGCCCUCUGGGUGAGUAUCUGGCUUGGCCUUGGCAUCUUCUUGGAGAACGUAGCUGCACUUGACUGUGUGGUGCGGUAUCCAGGACUUUACUUGAGGAAAUUAGAGUGUUUCAAGCAGGCACACGCCUUGAAUACAUUAGCAUGGAAUAAUGGAAUAGGACCUCGGUUCUAUUUUGUUGGUUUUCGGAACUUGAGGUAAUGAUUAAGAGGGACAGACGGGGCAUUCGUAUUACGGUGUUAGAGGUGAAAUUCUUGGAUUUAUUAAAGACGGACUACUGCGAAAGCAUUUGCCAAGGAUGUUUUCAUUGAUCAAGAACGAAAGUUAGGGGAUCGAAGACGAUUAGAUACC